rnacentral:rRNA from 1 species
CCUACGGGAGGCAGCAGUGAGGAAUAUUGGUCAAUGGACGAGAGUCUGAACCAGCCAAGUAGCGUGAAGGAUGACUGCCCUAUGGGUUGUAAACUUCUUUUAUAUGGGAAUAAAACGUUCCACGUGUGGGAUUUUGUAUGUACCAUAUGAAUAAGGAUCGGCUAACUCCGUGCCAGCAGCCGCGGUAAUACGGAGGAUCCAAGCGUUAUCCGGAUUUAUUGGGUUUAAAGGGAGCGUAGGUGGAUUGUUAAGUCAGUUGUGAAAGUUUGCGGCUCAACCGUAAAAUUGCAGUUGAAACUGGCAGUCUUGAGUACAGUAGAGGUGGGCGGAAUUCGUGGUGUAGCGGUGAAAUGCCUAGAUAUCACGAAGAACUCCGAUUGCGAAGGCAGUUCACUGGACUGCAACUGACACUGAGGCUCGAAAGUGUGGGUAUCAAACAGGAUUAGAUACCCCAGUAGUC